AAAUGAUAAAGGUAAACCCGCCGAAAGACGGGGGCGCAAAGCUAUGGGUCUAAGGCUUUAAGCUAUGACUGCCAAGCUGCCAUU
rfam:Peptococcaceae bacterium CEB3 CEB3_contig000031, whole genome shotgun sequence.